rnacentral:rRNA from 1 species
CCGGGAGCUACCUGCAGUCGAGCGGAGAGGGUAGCUUGCUACCUGAUUCAGCGGUGGACGGGUGAGUAAUGCCUAGGAAUCUGCCCGAUAGUGGGGGAUAACGUUCCGAAAGGAACGCUAAUACCGCAUACGUCCUACGGGAGAAAGCGGGGGAUCUUCGGACCUCGCGCUAUCGGAUGAGCCUAGGUCGGAUUAGCUAGUUGGUGAGGUAAUGGCUCACCAAGGCGACGAUCCGUAGCUGGUCUGAGAGGAUGAUCAGCCACACUGGGACUGAGACACGGCCCAGACUCCUACGGGAGGCAGCAGUGGGGAAUAUUGGACAAUGGGUGAAAGCCUGAUCCAGCCAUGCCGCGUGUGUGAAGAAGGUCUUCGGAUUGUAAAGCACUUUAAGUUGGGAGGAAGGGUUGUAACCUAAUACGUUGCAACUUUGACGUUACCGACAGAAUAAGCACCGGCUAACUUCGUGCCAGCAGCCGCGGUAAUACGAAGAGUGCAAGCGUUAAUCGGAAUUACUGGGCGUAAAGCGCGCGUAGGUGGUUUGAUAAGUUCGAUGUGAAAGCCCCGGGCUCAACCUGGGAAUUGCAUCCAAAACUGUCUGACUAGAGUACGGUAGAGGGUAGUGGAAUUUCCUGUGUAGCGGUGAAAUGCGUAGAUAUAGGAAGGAACACCAGUGGCGAAGGCGACUACCUGGACUGAUACUGACACUGAGGUGCGAAAGCGUGGGGAGCAAACAGGAUUAGUUACCCUGGUAGUCCACGCCGUAAACGAUGUCAACUAGUUGUUGGGCUCCAUGAGGGCUUAGUAACGCAGCUAACGCAUUAAGUUGACCGCCUGGGGAGUACGGCCGCAAGGUUAAAACUCAAAUGAAUUGACGGGGGCCCGCACAAGCGGGUGGAGCAUGUGGUUUAAUUCGAAGCAACGCGAAGAACCUUACCUGGCCUUGACAUGCUGAGAACUUUCCAGAGAUGGAUUGGUGCCUUCGGGAACUCAGACACAGGUGCUGCAUGGCUGUCCUCAGCUCGCGUCGUGAGAUGCUGGGCUAAGUCCAGUCACGAGCGCAACCCUUGUCCUUAGUUAUCAGCACGUUAUGGUGGGCACUCUAAGGAGACUGCCGGUGACAAACCGGAGGAAGGUGGGGAUGAUGUCAAGUCAUCAUGGCCCUUACGCCCAGGGCUACACACGUGCUACAAUGGUCGGUACAAAGGGCUGCCAAGCCGUAGAGGUGGAGCUAAUCCCAUAAAACCGAUCGUAGUCCGGAUCGCAGUCUGCAACUCGACUGCGUGAAGUCGGAAUCGCUAGUAAUCGUGAAUCAGAAUGUCACGCCGAAUACGUUCCAGGGACUGGUACACACCCCCCGUCACACCACGGGAGUGGGAGCUCCAGACGUACGCGUCUACCUGAUGGGAGACCCUGC